rnacentral:lncRNA from 1 species
CCAUAAAGUGGUAUAUUGAUCAAUUUAAGAGCAUUUUGUACAAUAUUCUUAAUUCAGACAGGCGUUUGAAAUGUGUUUGUGAGUUUGAAAAUAAAAAAACGGAUCUCAUAAUAUGCUUAAUGGAUAGUUUUUCAACAAGUCUAUAUAUGUGAUGAAAGCCCACGGAAGCAUUAAACCUAAUGGAUCAAUCCUUGAUCAAAUGUAUGUCCUUUUGUUUUCGUAAUUGAACCUAAGGUUUGAAAAUUCGGAGUCUUUUGCACGGUGAAACUCAAUGACCAAUUAAAUUACAAAAGAGGAUGCCAAUUUGCAUUGCAUUUAAGCAUUAAUACCUGACACUAGUUUUAAGAACGAAAAGGUAGUUUGUUUUUGUAUUAAAGUGAACAAUUUCCCGAAAAACUUGAAAGAAAUUAAAAAAAAAACAUUUAUAAUAAUGUAAAGAG